GAUGAAGAACGUAGCGAAAUGCGAUAAGUAAUGUGAAUUGCAGAAUUCAGUGAAUCAUCGAAUCUUUGAACGCACAUUGCGCCCGCCAGUAUUCUGGCGGGCAUGCCUGUUCGAGCGUCAUUACAACCCUCAGGCCCCCGGGCCUGGCGUUGGGGAUCGGCGGAAGCCCCCUGCGGGCACAACGCCGUCCCCCAAAUACAGUGGCGGUCCCGCCGCAGCUUCCAUUGCGUAGUAGCUAACACCUCGCAACAGGAGAGCGGCGCGGCCACGCCGUAAAACACCCAACUUCUGAAUGUUGACCUCGAAUCAGGUAGGAAUACCCGCUGAACUUAAGCAUAUCAAUAAGCGGAGGA
rnacentral:misc_RNA from 1 species